UCGGUCACCUAAGAAUGAAGAGAGGAGGGAGAUCAAUACACAAAUCACAAUUCAAUGAUAAACACACCCAAAGUCCCAAAUCGGAGAAUAAAAUCGAAGAUAAAAGAAUAUCCAAAUGAGAAAUUGUUGGAAAAAAAAUUAAAAUUACAAAUACCAGAUUUUUCUAUGGACCUUCGUAAGUUUCGGUCACCUGAGAAUGAAGAGAAGAGGGAGGACAGAACAUGCACAGACCAUAAUUCAACGAUAAACAUACCCAAAGUUAUAAAUCGGAGAACAAAAUCGGUAAUACUUGAGAAUCAAUUGACGUGGCGAAAUUACUUGAAAAUGAAAGAAGGUUAGAGAGAUUAGGUUUGGGUUUGAAUUUGAGGCAU
rnacentral:lncRNA from 1 species